CUUAUUCACUGAUCAUCCUGUAUCACUGUAGGCUAUUACAUGCUGUUGCAUGGUUACAUUUUCCAACUGCUUCAAACAACACGAAGAAUUUCUUGGGUAUCCCUAGAUGUAAUGGUUUCAUUCCAUGCAUACAUACUAACGUUAUCAUCAUGAAAAUUGUGAAACCCCCAUUUAAAACAUACAUAUUGUGUUAUAAUAUGCAAUGGACACUGACAACUUUGGGUAAGGUAAUGCCUUCUGCAAGUCAAAAGAAAAAGGGAAAUAUCUAUCUGGAUUUUGCGAUGCCAAAAUGUUAUCUUCUUGCAUACAUUUUCUUGCUAAUGCAAUGUUUUUUAAGUGAGCAUCAUGUUCUUCUGUGAUGCUUGCAUUUUCGGCAUUGUUAUGUGA
rnacentral:lncRNA from 1 species